GUGGGGAAUAUUGCACAAUGGGCGCAAGCCUGAUGCAGCAACGCCGCGUGAGGGACGACGGCCUUCGGGUUGUAAACCUCUUUUAGCAGGGAAGAAGCGAAAGUGACGGUACCUGCAGAAAAAGCACCGGCUAACUACGUGCCAGCAGCCGCGGUAAUACGUAGGGUGCAAGCGUUGUCCGGAAUUAUUGGGCGUAAAGAGCUCGUAGGCGGUUUGUCGCGUCUGCUGUGAAAACCCGAGGCUCAACCUCGGGCCUGCAGUGGGUACGGGCAGAAUAGAGUGCGGUAGGGGAGAUUGGAAUUCCUGGUGUAGCGGUGGAAUGCGCAGAUAUCAGGAGGAACACCGAUGGCGAAGGCAGAUCUCUGGGCCGUAACUGACGCUGAGGAGCGAAAGCGUGGGGAGCGAACAGGAUUAGAAACCCCGGUAGUCC
rnacentral:rRNA from 1 species